UAGAUACCCUGGUAGUCCACGCCGUAAACGAUGAUCACUCGCUGUUAUGCUGUUAUGGUGUAGCGGCUUAGCGAAAGCGUUAAGUGAUCCACCUGGGGAGUACGCCGGCAACGGUGAAACUCAAAGGAAUUGACGGGGGUCCGCACAAACGGUGGAGCAUGUGGUUUAAUUCGAUGAUACGCGAGGAACCUUACCUGGGCUAGAAUGUGAAGGAAUGAUAUAGAGAUGUAUCAGUCGGCAACGACCUGAA
rnacentral:rRNA from 1 species